rnacentral:rRNA from 1 species
GUUUGGCUGGUCGGUCCGCCUCACGGCGAGCACUGACCUCGGCCAAGCUGUUUCCUCUUGGACCGCCCGAGAGCGCUUGACUGUGCGCUCGGGAUGGGCCAGGACUUUUACUUUGAAAAAAUUAGAGUGUUCAAAGCAGGCAUUUGCUCGGAUACAUUAGCAUGGAAUAAUAGAAUAGGACGUCGAUCUUAUUUUGUUGGUUUCUAAGACCGCCGUA